rnacentral:piRNA from 1 species
UGUGGAAGACAGUAUGGUGAUUCCUCAAGGA